rnacentral:lncRNA from 10 species
GCUGGGAGCUGUAGACCGGAGCUGUUCCUAUUCGGCCAUCUUGAAUUGUAGGCAUUUUUAAAAACAGACUCUGGAGAUGAAUCUUUUCUAGUUAUAUACUUUGUAUUACAUUUAUGCACUGUCUGCUGCCAAAGAUCUGAAACCAAUGAUCUCAUAUAUAUGGUACAGUUUUCUAGUUAUUUACAGUGGGAGAGUAAAUUAUCCAUGCUCAGAAGUAGUGUGUACUAGUCUCAGUAAGUCAAUGGGUUUCCCUGGAUCCAGGCUUGGAGAAAAUGUUUUCUCUUCUCUAUCUGCAAUUCUCCUGAACCAAUUCUGACGGAUAAUAUGACUGUGUCAACCACAAAAGAGGAAAAGAAUGGGCUUUAAAUCCCGCCUUUACAGCCAUCCAAGGCAGGAUUGAUCCAGAAUAUGUUCCAGCAAAAACUACAGCAGAGUAACUUUGACAAGAAAAAUGUUCACUUGCUACCUAAGGAGAGUCUCUGUCUCCUGACCUCUGAAUUUCGAAAUCCUCAGCUCUGGCUGCCACGCAGUGGGAACCGAAUGAGUAUGUACUGAAUGGCGAAUCCUAGUUCAGUCACUUGACUAGCUGGGUGACCUUGAGCAAGUAACUUAGCUUCUUGAAGCCUCAGUCUCCUUAUCUAUAAAAUGGGACUCAAAGGCUGAGUCGAGUAUUAAAUGAAAUAAUACACGUAAAGCACAGUGCCAAAAAUCUGGUAAUAACUCCAUCAGUAUAAGGCCACCUUAUUUGCCUUCUUUCACAAUUAUCACCAGAAUUGAAUUAAAAUUCAGAUGUGAUCAUGUCUUGAAAUGUAGAAAGAGUUAUGAAAAUGUAAGACUUACUAAGUUCACUUAUCGAACAUUUUUUGACCACCUACUAUGUGCUAUGCCUUGGACUAGGCUAGAGAUACAACAGUAAACAUCUUGACUAACGGAGAUUAUGCUGCUAUCUUGAAAUUUUGCCUGUUCCCAAAAGCCCCCAGCAUAUUAAUUUUGUUAAAUAUAUAUUCCCUUAUUAUAUAUAUAAAACAUAUAUAUCCU